rnacentral:tRNA from 1 species
GUUAAGUUAGUUUAAAUAAAAUUUUAGUUUGUGGAACUAAGGAUGAAAAAUACUUUCACUUAACC